UGGCGAACGGGUGAGUAACACGUGGGCAAUCUGCCCUUCACUCUGGGACAAGCCCUGGAAACGGGGUCUAAUACCGGAUACUGACCCUCGCAGGCAUCUGCGAGGGUCGAAAGCUCCGGCGGUGAAGGAUGAGCCCGCGGCCUAUCAGCUUGUUGGUGAGGUAAUGGCUCACCAAGGCGACGACGGGUAGCCGGCCUGAGAGGGCGACCGGCCACACUGGGACUGAGACACGGCCCAGACUCCUACGGGAGGCAGCAGUGGGGAAUAUUGCACAAUGGGCGAAAGCCUGAUGCAGCGACGCCGCGUGAGGGAUGACGGCCUUCGGGUUGUAAACCUCUUUCAGCAGGGAAGAAGCGAAAGUGACGGUACCUGCAGAAGAAGCGCCGGCUAACUACGUGCCAGCAGCCGCGGUAAUACGUAGGGCGCAAGCGUUGUCCGGAAUUAUUGGGCGUAAAGAGCUCGUAGGCGGCUUGUCACGUCGGUUGUGAAAGCCCGGGGCUUAACCCCGGGUCUGCAGUCGAUACGGGCAGGCUAGAGUUCGGUAGGGGAGAUCGGAAUUCCUGGUGUAGCGGUGAAAUGCGCAGAUAUCAGGAGGAACACCGGUGGCGAAGGCGGAUCUCUGGGCCGAUACUGACGCUGAGGAGCGAAAGCGUGGGGAGCGAACAGGAUUAGAUACCCUGGUAGUCCACGCCGUAAACGGUGGGCACUAGGUGUGGGCAACAUUCCACGUUGUCCGUGCCGCAGCUAACG
rnacentral:rRNA from 2 species